rnacentral:rRNA from 1 species
UACGGGGGGGGUAAGCGUUGUUCGGAAUUACUGGGCGUAAAGCGCACGUAGGCGGAUACUUAAGUCAGGGGUGAAAUCCCGGGGCUCAACCCCGGAACUGCCUUUGAUACUGGGUAUCUCGAGUCCGGAAGAGGUGAGUGGAAUUCCGAGUGUAGAGGUGAAAUUCGUAGAUAUUCGGAGGAACACCAGUGGCAAAGGCGGCUCACUGGUCCGGUACUGACGCUGAGGUGCGAAAGCGUGGGGAGCAAACAGG